GUGCUCUGAGUGACUCACGCACUGCUGAGCAUCCUCGUUCCAUGGUGGGUUUACUCUUCCAUUGCCUGCGUUUUUCCUGGGCUGUUGGUUACUGAGAGCAGAGGUGAGGGCUGAGGAGCAGAUAGGGCCCAUAGGGCUGGAAGGGUUAAGGAGUGCUGAGUACUUCACGUGCCAGCUGGUGAGGGAUGUAAUUAACAAAUAUUGGCUUCAGGUGUGAGCAUGACUGAUUUAUAGCAGCUUCGCAGGGGGUGGCACAGGUUGUAAUGAGUGGGGUUGCGUUUGCCCUGCUGGCCGAAGCCAUAGGGUGUGUGAGGGAAUGCCUGCAGGACGCAGGCUGGUCGUUGGUGUGUGCUGUUAAGAACCAAAAUACUCUUAAGAGCAGAGGUAAUGGGGGCCAAAUGGUUACAGCAGUGAAUUGCUGACUUAGGAAACAGCACUGACACCCCGUGGUACGGACACGCAGCGGCUGCACCUGAUGGCCUCAAUCAGCCCCUCCAAGUCUGUGCCCUUCCGGCUGUGACUCAGAACAGAAAGCAAAGGGCACCUCUGUGUGAAAAGGUGGAUUUUCAAGAACACAACAGAAACUUUCCCUAAAAGUUUUUGUUCCCUUGGGCAAACAAAAGCCGACAGUGCAGCUUAUGAAGGAGCCCUGGAUCUGCUCUCGGAACGCUCUGUUCCCUGGGAAGGAAGGUGUGUUACGUGGCCCUGUGACUCUCAUCCAUCACAUGACUGCAGUGCAGCAUGGAGAGACCUUUGAGUUUCCAUGGGACAAGGACACACUGCUCUGUAUGGAGAGCACCUUGAACAGCUUCAGCAAGGGCGGUGCUCCGGGGAGUUUGCCUCUCAGCUGUGGGUGCUGUCCUCAGUGAGCAGAACAGCACACCCUGCAGUGAGGCUGCAGCUGUGGUGCUUUCCUACUCCAUGACACAAUUGAAGGAUUGGUGCAUUCUCCUGAACAGUCCUUGGGGAUUCGUUGUAUUGCCCUCAGACUGCCUGCCUGGCUGGAGGGGGGGCUUGAAGACCAGGAACAGCAUUAGGAAUCAGCUGCUGGGGGAUGUUUGGGCUCUCGUUAGUGCUUUGAUGACCUGCAGAUGCUCUCAAUGAGCUGCAUGUUCUGAUGGAUCAGGUCGGCAGCUCGGAGUGCUGGACCCCUGAGCUGAGGGGCAGCCCCCAUCCAGCCUCACCCCGAGGUGUGGGGUUGGUGCCUAUGGGAGGAGGAGAUGCUUUGUAGCUGUUACAGCUGCUGUCCAGUGGCACUCUGUCUGUUAGUCUGAGGUGCUUUCAGUUCAUUUUGAAAGAACUGUGAAUUCUAAAUAUCUGGCGUGAAAAAUAACGACUUCGCUCCUGGAAAUGGUUUUGGUUUGUGCAAGCUGGGUGUAAGCAUUGUGAUAAAUGUCUGACAACUAAAAACUCCAUAUCAUUUGCUAACAUAUUGCACUCCAACAGCAGCUGGAGAACUCUGCAAAGGAGGCCUGAGUGGUGUAAAUAAGUCACAUUCAGCAGUUGGUGGCACUAAAUGUGGAUUUAUCAGUUAAAAAGGACAGCAGUGUGCUGGGAAGUGCCCAAUGGCACCGUGGGGCUGUGCUGCUAUGGCCACCCAGUGACUCCGUGCCCAAUGCGUGCAGGUUGGAAGCAAAAAGGCAGCUUUCCUGGCUGCCAGCUUCGGUGGCUCCAUCUGGGAUCUCAAAUCCAUGCUGUGUCUUUCCUGACUCUGCUGCUAAUAAUAAAGGC
rnacentral:lncRNA from 1 species